rnacentral:lncRNA from 10 species
CUACCAUAGAUCUGUAUUUUUAUAAUUUAGUAGAACAUUCUAAGUUGCAGAUAUAAAGAGAGCAGGCACUAGGCAGAAGAUAGAGGUAAGCAAGACAUAUGAAGUGUAAAUACAAGUAAUUCAGGAUUGAUGAGGUAGAAGACUUCCAGUCUGGCCUUUGGGAGAUGACACUAUAUAAGUAAUAUGGCAUGAAUUAAUGAGGACCUCAUUCCAUGCUAAGAAGACUUCAAUUUUUCUGUAGUUUGUAGAGAAUUUUAAUCAAGGAGUAACAAGUAAAAUUUCUUAUAGUGAUGAAACACAGAGACAACAGCACAAGUGGUAAUUCCGCAUAUUACAAAGCUGGUGUCAGAACCGUCCAGGCAAGAGUUGACAAAGGCAUCAAAUAAGAAAAUGAUAGUAGGAGAGAUGAGAUAUGUAUAUAAUUACCCUCGAAAAUGGGGUUAGGGUUCAUAAUGCCUUCAGUUGUGUAGGCCAUAGCGAGAUUAUCCAGGAAGACUCAUGAUCAAAUGACCCAGGAGAGGGGCUCUUUGGGCCUAAGGAUGAGAGACAAAAGUGGGUCUCCUCUUUUGCUCUGGCAUCUUCUAAAUUGACUUCACCUUUGUUCUUGGUUAAUAAAGUAUUGUAGGUAAAAAAGUUAUCUUGUUAAAAUUUUAAUAAAUUCAGGAAAUAUAGUAUAGAUGAAGGGAACAAUAUAAAAUUAAGCAAUAUUUUUAUCUUCAUAAAAAUUAUUUAUACUUUGCAAUUUAUAAAGCUUGCUCACAAGCUUAGUUUUACUUGGUUGUAAUAAUGGAAAUAGAAUACAUACAAAAACUGUUAUUUUGGGGUAUGAAUUUUGUAAGAUUUGGAAGUAAAAUCUUGAGAGUCUUGCUUCCUUUCAGAGUAAAUAGAUAUGCAAUUGAGCACUUGUUUCAUAAUCUCUGAUCAUCAAGAUUCCAGGACCUUCCAUUAACUUCCCAGUGUAAUCUGUCCCUAGCUAGCAGCCUUAUGUGGUCAUUUCUUUUUGUAAUUCUACCAACGUGUAUCACUUUCAUUUUAUCACCUCUCUGGUAGUCCUUAUGUAUUCUCUAGCAUACAAGAAAGUUGUGAAGGAUUCUGUUUUAAAUUUUAUGCCUGAAAUUUUGAUUUCUGUGCUUUUGGCCCCAAAACAUAUU